rnacentral:lncRNA from 1 species
GCCGGGCUGCAGCUGCCAGCCUACGCCACAGUCAUAGCCAUGCAGGAUCCCAGCCGCAUCUGUGACCUAUGACACAGCAAGUGGCAACACCAGAUCCUUAACCCACUGAGCAAGACCAAGAUCCCACAUCCUCAUGGAUAUUAGUUGGGUUCUUAACCAGCUGAGCCACAAUGGGAACUCCUCACGUGACUUUAAAACACAGUAAUGUGACGGUACAUUCCUAGUUGGAAAGAUCCGAUGGACAAAAGUAAUCACGAAAAAACUCCUGAAUGUUCACAGCAAUCCCAGUGGGGGUUGUAGACAUGAUACUGCUAUCCUAAGAUUAUUGUGCAUGAAUUACAUAAUAAAGCAAAUCUGUGUUGGCAUUAUUGUAAACUGGAAUUUUCAUCAUGAGUUGGAGAUGUAAUAUUGAAGGCAGCAAGUAAAAAUCUUGGGGUCCUGAAUUUGACUUACUUGGAAAAUAUGAGUAUUAAUUUAUUGUACAUUUUACCUUUUUUGUUUCUCUAGCACCAUCCACUGAAAAUGCCGAGAAACCCUCUCAAACACCAUGGAAAUAAACACCACUAGUGCUCCGAUUACUGCACCCAGAUACUAUUUCCCACUAAAGGAAACCAAUGCUCUCUGUAGACAUGACUGAUGCCAAGCCUGGAAAAUGAAAUAUGUAUAAGAUGUGCCUGAAACAUCUUAUUAUACCACAAAGCAAAAAGCUAUCAAAGACCUUUAAGGUUGUAUCAAAAGGACCCAGAGUAAUCUGAAGAGAUUCCCCAACCAGCUAUGGAUGAGUAUUUGAUGCAUCCAUAAGAAAAAUAAUUGCAAUCUAAUUGCCAUUGAUUUAAUGUGUUGCAAAACACAUCGAAUAUAUAUUUAGAUCGAUGAGUUCAUAAAAACAAAACUAAAAUGAACUCCUACCUUUGGAGGAUGUUAGGAAACCAACUUGUUAUUUAGAAGACUAGUCAAUAAAGAAAAAGAAAUACAAAAAAUAUACAAAUGUGUUCUUUAAAAACGAUUAACAAUGAAAAAGGAUACAUUUCCUUUUUAAACAUGUAAAUCAAACACAGUAAAAUUUGAUGUGUGACAAGAAUUUGCAGUUACCAAACUCUCGCACCUUGCAAUUCACACUCUAUUUCAGUCUUUUAAAUUUAAAAAUGUGUGUGUGUGUGUAUAUAUGUGCAUAUAUAUAUAUAUAAAAUGUAUAACUGAUUCACUUUAUUGUACACCUGAAACUAACACAUUGUAAACCAACUAUACUCCAAUACAUUUUUUAAAAAAUAAAAAUAAAAGAUAUAAAUAAAUUAAAAAAUUAAAGUAACCUGCAUUCUGGGUAUUCCAGAACGUGAUCGCAUUACCGGACUGUCCCCAGCUGCACUCAAAGUUCUAAUGAAUCCCAGUCCUUAUGAAAUUAUCCUUGAAAUGGAAACAUUUCACCCAGUCCUUGUGUGUCAAGGCCAACUGUCAAACUGGAUUUCUCUAAGCCAACUUCCACAGAGAAGAACACGUUUACUAAAGGAUAGGUAAUAAAAAUGUGCAAUUUGAAGCUUACAUAAUUGUUAUUAAAAUUCAACAGGAACUGCAGCAAUUUUUAUAAAUUAGUCCCAUUGAAGAAUUUGUUCUCAGAGAUACUAGAAUCAGUGGCCUCGUUAAUAAGAAAAAGUGUGCCAGCUUUUAUUUCGUUACAUUGCUUUUUUUAAAAUUUCCCCAACACAUUAUUUUUUUUCUACUGUACAGCAUGGUGACCCAGUUACACAUAUAUGAAUACAUUCUUUUUUCUUCCAUUAUCAUGCUCCAUCAUAAGUGACUAGACAUAGUUCUCAGUGCUACACAGCAGGAUCUCAUCACUAAUCCAUUCCGAAGGCAAUAGUUUGUAUCUAUGAACCCCAAGCUCCCAAUCCACCCCCACUCCCUCCGCCUCCCCCUUGGCAACCACAAGCCUAUUCUCCAAGUCCAUGAUUUUCUUUUCUAUGGAAAGGUUCAUUUGUGCCACUGCAUCUGGUCAACUGACUCCUAUAUCACGGGAGACUACCAGACAUUAUCCACCUCUUACCUGAGGUAGAGAAAACCAUCUAAAAGGCAUUUCUUGCAAAAAUAUAAAAUUUGAAUCUGAUGGAGCCUCCAAAUCCAACCACCAAUUUGUAGGACUCAUAGGUUCAGAACCUGCCAAAUGACACGACAAGACAAAAUCAGCACAAUCCAGGCUGUGGGAAACUCCAUGUAACAAACAUACAGGUUUUUCAACAAAUACGUUACAGACACAGAGAGAGGAAGAGACCAAAGAGAAACAUCAACUAAUUGCAAAGGAUGAUCUCAUCCGAAUCUUGACUCAAACCCUCUUAAAAAAUUAUCCGAG